UUUCUAGUAUAAAUAUGCCCCAUGCAAUAUUUGUGACAUACUUAUACGAAAA
rnacentral:pre_miRNA from 1 species